rnacentral:tRNA from 1 species
GCGGGUUUAGCUCAGUUGGGAGAGCGUCAGACUGAAGUCAAACAACAGUCAUAAAAUCUGAAGGUCGUGUGUUCGAUCCACACAAACCGCA